UACAGAGACUGCAAGCGUUAUUCGGAUUCACUGGGCGUAAAGGGUGCGCAGGCGGCCAAGUGUGUGAGGCGUGAAAGCCCGGGGCUUAACCCCGGAAUUGCACCUCAAACUACUCGGCUAGAGCAUUGGAGAGGGUAGCAGAAUUCAUGGUGUAGCAGUGAAAUGCGUAGAUAUCAUGAGGAAUACCAGAGGCGAAGGCGGCUACCUGGACAAUUGCUGACGCUCAGGCACGAAAGCGUGGGGAGCAAACAGG
rnacentral:rRNA from 1 species